rnacentral:rRNA from 1 species
GAUGAACGCUGGCGGCGUGCUUAAUACAUGCAAGUCGAGCGAACGGACGCGAAGCUUGCUUUUUUGAUGUUAGCGGAGCACGGGUGUGUCACACGUGGAUCAUCUACCUAUAUUACUGGUAACACUUCGGGAAUCCGGCGCUUAUCCCGGAUGAUCUUUUGCUGCGUGUGGUUCAUAAGUGAAUGACGGUCUUGGUGUCUCUUCUCGAUGGUUCUGGGCUGCAUUAGCUAGUUGGUAAGGUAACGGCUUAUCAAGGCAACGAUGCAUAGCCGAACUGCGAGACGGACCGGCCGCACGGGAAGGGAGACGCGGUCCAGACUCCUACGAGAGGCAGCAGUAGGCAAUCGUCCGCAGUAGGCGGAAGCCUGGCGGAGCAACGCCACGUGAGUGAUGAAAGUCUUCGGAGCGUAAAACUCUGUUAUUAGGGAAGAACAGAUGUGUAAGGAACUGUGCACAGCGUGACGGUACCGAGUCAGAAAGCCACGGCUAACUACGUG